AUUGAACGCUGGCGGCAGGCCUAACACAUGCAAGUCGAACGAGUGGCGGACGGGUGAGUAAUGUCUGGGAAACUGCCCGCUGGAGGGGGAUAACUACUGGAAACGGUAGCUAAUACCGCCUACCAUCGGAUGUGCCCAGCUGGGCUUAGCUAGUAGGUGGGUUAACGGUGCACCUAGGCGCCGAUCCCUAGCUGGUCUGAGAGGAUGACCAGCCACACUGGAACUGAGACACGGUCCAGACUCCUACGGGAGGCAGCAGUGGGGAAUAUUGCACAAUGGGCGCAAGCCUGAUGCAGCCAUGCCGCGUGUAUGAAGAAGGCCUUCGGGUUGUAAAGUACUUUCAGCGAGGAGGCGUUACUCGCAGAAGAAGCACCGGCUAACUCCGUGCCAGCAGCCGCGGUAAUAC
rnacentral:rRNA from 1 species